AGAGUUUGAUCAUGGCUCAGGAUGAACGCUAGCUACAGGCUUAACACAUGCAAGUCGAGGGGCAGCAUAACGAAAGCUUGCUUUUGUUGAUGGCGACCGGCGCACGGGUGAGUAACGCGUAUCCAACCUUCCCUAUAGUAGAGAAUAGCCCGGCGAAAGUCGGAUUAAUGCUCUAUGUUGUAUUUAGAAGACAUCUGAAGAAUACCAAAGGUUUACCGCUAUAGGAUGGGGAUGCGUCUGAUUAGGUAGUAGGCGGGGUAACGGCCCACCUAGCCGACGAUCAGUAGGGGUUCUGAGAGGAAGGUCCCCCACAUUGGAACUGAGCCAGGAUCAAACUC
rnacentral:rRNA from 1 species